rnacentral:other from 1 species
AGUUCCCUAGAGCAUUUGCCAAUCAAAAGUGUUCUUGAGCCGAUAUCGUAAUAACCGGAGGCAACUCGACAGAUGUUGGUGUGCAAGUCCGCUAGACGGAAAGCCUUAUGCAUCGCGAGAGCCACCACCUGAACCUUUGGGUUCAGGGCAAGUUUGAUAGCGGUGUUCCGGGGAACUU